rnacentral:rRNA from 1 species
UACGUAGGGUGCAGGCGUUAAUCGGAAUUACUGGGCGUAAAGCGUGCGCAGGCGGUUUGCUAAGACAGGUGUGAAAUCCCCGGGCUUAACCUGGGAACUGCGCUUGUUACUGGCAGGCUUGAGUGUGGCAGAGGGGGGGUGGAAUUCCAGGUGUAGCAGUGAAAUGACGUAGAGAUGUGGAGGAACACCGAUGGCGAAGGCAGCCCCCUGGGCCAAUACUGACGCUCAUGCACGAAAGCGUGGGGAGCAAACAGG